rnacentral:rRNA from 1 species
AUAAGGAGGAAAAGAAACCAACAGGGAUUGCCUCAGUAACGGCGAGUGAAGCGGCAAAAGCUCAAAUUUGAAAUCUAGCACCUUCGGUGUUUGAGUUGUAAUUUGAAGAUGGUAACCUUGGGUUUGGCUCUUGUCUAUGUUCCUUGGAACAGGACGUCAUAGAGGGUGAGAAUCCCGUCUGAUGAGAUGCCCAUUCCUAUGUAAGGUGCUAUCGAAGAGUCGAGUUGUUUGGGAAUGCAGCUCUAAGUGGGUGGUAAAUUCCAUCUAAAGCUAAAUAUUGGCGAGAGACCGAUAGCGAACAAGUACAGUGAUGGAAAGAUGAAAAGAACUUUGAAAAGAGAGUGAAAAAGUACGUGAAAUUGUUGAAAGGGAAGGGCAUUAGAUCAGACUUGGUGUUUUACGAUUAUCUUCUCUUCUUGAGUUGUGCACUCGUAUUUCACUGGGCCAGCAUCGAUUCGGAUGGCAAGAUAAUGGCAGUUGAAUGUGGCUUCACUUCGGUGGAGUGUUAUAGCUUCUGCUGAUAUUGCCUGUCUGGAUCGAGGGCUGCGUCUUUUGACUAGGAUGCUGGCGUAAUGAUCUAAUGCCGCCCGUCUUGAACCCC